UACUCUGUGCGGUUGGGAUCAAUUCGGCUCGACGUGGUCGAUGAAGAACGCAGCAAAAUGCGGAGACUACGUGAAUUGCAGGGACUUUGCGAACGUUUAAUUCUCGAACGCACAUUGCCGGCUUUGGGUUGAAACUGAGCCACGCCUGUGAGGGUCA
rnacentral:rRNA from 1 species